rnacentral:snoRNA from 1 species
UCUCAAAUGAUGGAAAAACCGUUAUUCGGAAAAGAAUGACAUGAACAAAGGACCAGUGAUGCAC